AAGUCGUAACAAGGUUUCCGUAGGUGAACCUGCGGAAGGAUCAUUAACAAAGCUUGAAGUUCGCUCAACCGCGCGUCUUCAACAAAUCCAUCCACACCUUGUGCAAUAUUGACAUCGAGGCAAGUUCUUUCGGGAAUUUGCUGGUCUUGUGGGGGGAAAAACCUAAAGGAUAGGCAGGCCAUGCUUAACCUUUAAGCCCCCCCAAAGUAUUUAACCUAUACGUUUUUUAUUGGUUUGUCUGAAACUUUUUAUUGAUACAAUAUAAAAACAACUUUCAACAACGGAUCUCUUGGUUCUC
rnacentral:misc_RNA from 1 species